rnacentral:misc_RNA from 1 species
GAUGAAGAACGCAGCGAAAUGCGAUAACUAAUGUGAAUUGCAGAAUUCCGUGAAUCAUCGAGUCUUUGAACGCACAUUGCGCCCCCUGGUAUUCCGGGGGGCAUGCCUGUCCGAGCGUCAUUGCUGCCCAUCAAGCACGGCUUGUGUGUUGGGUCCCGUCCCCCUCUCCCGGGGGACGGACCCGAAAGGCGGCGGCGGCACCGCGUCCGGUCCUCGAGCGUAUGGGGCUUUGUCACCCGCUCUUGUAGGCCCGGCCGGCGCUUGCCGACACCCAACCAUUUUUUUCAGGUUGACCUCGGAUCAGGUAGGGAUACCCGCUGAACUUAAGCAUAUCAAUAAGCGGAGGA